AGAGUUUGAUCCUGGCUCAGGAUGAACGCUAGCGACAGGCCUAACACAUGCAAGUCGAGGGGCAUCGGGGAUGUAGCAAUACAUCCGCCGGCGACCGGCGCACGGGUGAGUAACACGUAUGCAACCAACCCGUAACAGGGAGAUAACCCGGGGAAAUCCGGACUAAUAUCCCAUGGUAUCAUGCUGCCGCAUGGCGGUAUGAUUAAAUUUACGAAGGUUACGGACGGGCAUGCGCUCCAUUAGCCAGUUGGCGGGGUAACGGCCCACCAAAGCCACGAUGGAUAGGGGUUCUGAGAGGAAGGUCCCCCACAUUGGAACUGAGACACGGUCCAAACUCCUACGGGAGGCAGCAGUGAGGAAUAUUGGUCAAUGGACGGAAGUCUGAACCAGCCAAGUCGCGUGAAGGAAGACAGUCGGUAAGAUCGUAAACUUCUUUUAUCAGGGAGUAACCGCCGCUACGCGUAGCGGUCUGCAAGUACCUGAAGAAAAAGCAUCGGCUAACUCCGUGCCAGCAGCCGCGGUAAUACGGAGGAUGCGAGCGUUAUCCGGAUUUAUUGGGUUUAAAGGGUGCGUAGGCGGUUUAUUAAGUUAGUGGUUAAAUAUUUGAGCUAAACUCAAUUGUGCCAUUAAUACUGGUAAACUGGAGUACAGACGAGGUAGGCGGAAUAAGUUAAGUAGCGGUGAAAUGCAUAGAUAUAACUUAGAACUCCGAUAGCGAAGGCAGCUUACCAGACUGUAACUGACGCUGAUGCACGAGAGCGUGGGUAGCGAACAGGAUUAGAUACCCUGGUAGUCCACGCCGUAAACGAUGCUCACUGGUUCUGUGCGAUAUAUUGUACGGGAUUAAGCGAAAGUAUUAAGUGAGCCACCUGGGGAGUACGUCGGCAACGAUGAAACUCAAAGGAAUUGACGGGGGCCCGCACAAGCGGAGGAACAUGUG
rnacentral:rRNA from 1 species